rnacentral:rRNA from 1 species
UACGUAGGUGGCAAGCGUUGUCCGGAUUUACUGGGCGUAAAGGGCGUGCAGGCGGCCCGGUAAGUCCGCUGUGAAAGUCGGGGGGCUCAACCCUCGAAUGCCGGUGGAUACUGUCGGGCUAGAGUGCGGAAGAGGCGAGUGGAAUUCCUGGUGUAGCGGUGAAAUGCGCAGAUAUCAGGAGGAACACCGAUUGCGAAGGCAGCUCGCUGGGACGUAACUGACGCUGAGACGCGAAAGCGUGGGGAGCAAACAGG